GUGGAUUGUAGAUUAAUUUAGUCUUGUAGUUUUAGUCUCUUCAAAAAAGUUCAUCGAUAUAUCAAUAUUUUUCGUCAUAGUUUUCGUUGAUGAAAUGAACACUGCUUUGAACCCAGAUUUCCCAGGAUUUCAGCAUUCUCCACGUAGGGGCCUCACCAAAGCUUGCAGAGAACUGGGUUUCUGUCUACAGCGAGGAGAUCCUUAAGCUUGCCAGCAAGGAAUGAAUGGAUUCUAACUUCUCCUCUAAUUUUGGUGGCGACGCUAUGUCUGCAGAUUACUGCGCCAGCAGAAAUCAGCUGCCCUGUCUCAGAGGGGCUUCCAGGAAUUUUUGUGGAAGGUACUGCCUACUUCUUCAAGAGUGGCUCUGUGAGUAACUUUAAUUUGCAGUAUUUUACAUUUUAAGAUGUUUAAUGCUCAGUGAUUCCAGUCAGAUCGUGCAAUUAAAUCAUGGUUGACUAGUAAAAUGGGAGCAGUACAUACAAAUGCCCUUUCUUCCUUGUCUCUCACACUGUUUGGAUAUUGAUGAUGAGAAUGCCUUCAAAGACCUGUUGGAGUCCUCUGCCCUCAGGAAGAUGUGGUCCAAAACCUGGCUGGAAGGCACUGUUCGUGGAUGAAGUGAAGAAGCCACCUCAGGUAAUGUGCCUCCCCCAAUUUAUAAGAUCCACUUUAUGAACUGAACUGCCUUUUAACUUUAUUCAACAGGUGAUGCUGAACCUGGGUAGAGGUGAGCUGACAUCCAAAAUUCAAAAUAAAAAAAAAUCAGCUUCCAAGUGUAGAGUUGGC